rnacentral:rRNA from 1 species
GACGAACGCUGGCGGCGUGCUUAACACAUGCAAGUCGAACGGAAAGGCCCUGCUUUUGUGGGGUGCUCGAGUGGCGAACGGGUGAGUAACACGUGAGUAACCUGCCCUUGACUUUGGGAUAACUUCAGGAAACUGGGGCUAAUACCGGAUAGGAGCUCCUGCUGCAUGGUGGGGGUUGGAAAGUUUCGGCGGUUGGGGAUGGACUCGCGGCUUAUCAGCUUGUUGGUGGGGUAGUGGCUUACCAAGGCUUUGACGGGUAGCCGGCCUGAGAGGGUGACCGGCCAAAUUGGGACUGAGAUAAGGCCCAGACUCCUAAGGGAGGCAGCAGGGGGGAAUAAUGCAAAAAGGGCGGAAGCCUGAAGCAGCAACGCCGCGGGCGGGAUGAAGGCCUUCGGGUUGUAAACCGCUUUCGCCUGUGACGAAGCGGGAGUGAAGGUAAUGGGUAAAGAAGCAACGGCUAACUAAGUG